GGGAAAAGACACCCAGACCUCAAUUCCAGCUAAUCUCUUGGCAAACUUCAUUUAAAAAAACAGCAAAUCCCAUUUGUCCAAACUCUGCAAAGCUCCAUAAAGAAUCACAGAAUCUGAGAGUUGAAAAAGGACCAUACUGAAAAGGGCCAUCUGAUGUAAUCUGUCUUCCUGAGAAGGAAUCCUCUCUUCAGCAUUCCUGACCAGAGAGGAUUUGGUUGACUACUGCGUCCUGGCUGAAUAACCUGGAAGUAAAAGCUGAGCAUGGAUCUGGAGCAGAUGGAGAGCAUUGGGCACUCUGAAAUGUCACUUGGAUGAUCUGGACUCCAUCUUCAUCUGGAAAGCAUGCUCUGUCAACAUAACUCUGAGUCUUUGUGUGGAUCAAAAGAGAAAAUGAAUACAAAGAUUCCUUGCAAAGAAUAAAAUAGGAAAGUAUUUUUUUCUGUCUAAAUCAAAUAUGACACAUACUUUAUGUGUUCAAGAAGGAGCUAAAUGUUUAUUAGCAAGGCCAGUUUCUUGAUAGGUAGAGUGGGAGAUUGCCUAUUGUGAUUCUAGGGACUUUGGGAAGACUUAAACAGUUGCCCAAAUCAUUCUAUGCAUUGGCUGAUAUUAGAAAUUUCACUAAAGCCUUCAGUUCUGCUUACAAUGUACCUCUUUUCCCUACCCUCCCUCAACCCAAUGCAUAAAACAGUUCAUAAAUUGCUUCAUGGGCAAGUCACCAUGCACAUAGCAGCCUAGCACCUCAAUGUGAAUGAAGCUAGGGGACUGAAGUAUAUGGACACUGACACUUGAGAGGAGCCAGGAGAGGUAAUUAGAAAUGAAAGAGCAGACUAGAGCUAAAAAAAA